GAUGAACGCUGGCGGCGUGCCUAAUACAUGCAAGUCGAGCGAACAGACGAGGAGCUUGCUCCCCUGACGUUGGCGGGGGACGGGUGAUUAACACGGGGUUAACCUACCUAUAAGACUGGGAUAACUUCGGGAAACCGGAGCUAAUACCGGAUAAUAUAUUGAACCGGAUGGUUCAAUAGUUAAAGACGGUUUUGCUUUCACUAAUAGAUUGCUCCGCGCCGCAUUAGUUAGUUGGUAAGGUAACGGCUUACCAAGGCAACGAUGCGUACCCGACCUGAGAGGGUGAUCGGCCACACUGGAACUGAGACACGGUCCAGACUCCUACGGGAGGCAGCAGUAGGGAAUCUUCCGCAAAGGGCGAAAGCCUGACGGAGCAACGCCGCGUGAGUGAUGAAGGUCUUCGGAUCGUAAAACUCUGUUAUUAGGGAAGAACAAAUGUGUAAGUAACUAUGCACGUCUUGACGGUACCUAAUCAGAAAGCCACGGCUAACUACGUG
rnacentral:rRNA from 1 species